UGAAAGAAAGCUAAGCUCUAGUAAUCUCAUUGUCUCUCAACCCUCCGUUCACGGAAUGUUCUCUAGUGCCAAGAAGAGGGGAAAACAACUUUCUUCUGCCCACCGUGUACUUCCAUGAUGCUAAAUUGGUAGCAUGUGUCUCUACAGUGUACAAUUCAUCCAGGACACAUUCAAUAACCCUGCGGUCUACAUCACAGAAAAUGGCUUCUCCCAGGUGGGGCCAGUGGACAUGGAAGACAUCCAGCACUGUGGGUUUUACCAGGACAUCAUCCAGAUCUGAGAGAGGAUGUUGUUGACGUGCUAGUUUAAUUCACCUGGUCCUUCCUGGAUAACUUUGAAUGGGCCGACAGUUUCACUUUGUCCUGUUCCACAUGGACUUUUCUUGACCAGAGUGACCGUGGACCGCGUACCACUCUGGAAGAGGGUACUCCGGGAUCAUCUCCAAGUACAGAUCUUAGACCAGGACAAAUAACUAAACAGCCAAUGGGCACAGAGAAAAUCAUCCAAAUCAGCCAAUAAAAGACAUUUUUUGCUCAA